AUUGAACGCUGGCGGCAGGCCUAACACAUGCAAGUCGAGCGGAUGAAGGGAGCUUGCUCCUGGAUUCAGCGGCGGACGGGUGAGUAAUGCCUAGGAAUCUGCCUGGUAGUGGGGGAUAACGUCCGGAAACGGGCGCUAAUACCGCAUACGUCCUGAGGGAGAAAGUGGGGGAUCUUCGGACCUCACGCUAUCAGAUGAGCCUAGGUCGGAUUAGCUAGUUGGUGGGGUAAAGGCCUACCAAGGCGACGAUCCGUAACUGGUCUGAGAGGAUGAUCAGUCACACUGGAACUGAGACACGGUCCAGACUCCUACGGGAGGCAGCAGUGGGGAAUCUUGGACAAUGGGCGAAAGCCUGAUCCAGCCAUGCCGCGUGUGUGAAGAAGGUCUUCGGAUUGUAAAGCUCUUUAAGUUGGGAGGAAGGGAAGUAAGUUAAUACAUUGAUGUUUUGACGUUACCAACAGAAUAAGCACCGGCUAACUUCGUG
rnacentral:rRNA from 1 species